CCGCUGCUUGCCGGGUCCCGGCCCGGCGACGCGCGCUCACACCCUCCUCCCGAGCCGCCCUCACGCCGAGCGCUGCGGACGGGGGCGCGCAACCUGCCGCCGGCCGGGACCCUGCGGCGAGUGCCGGAACCCGGCCGGGCGGGGCCUCCCGCGGCCCGGCCGCUUUAUUGGGUCACCGGCCUCGCCCACCGCCCUGCCAGCCGCAGCCAUCUCGGCGGGCGCGCCGCUCGCAGCCAGCGCCCCAUCCCCAGGCCUGCACGUACGUCGUCGGCGAUCCGGGGCCGGGGGCGGCUCCGAGGUCGUCGGGGCCGGGGUCCCACCUCCUCUUGGAGGAAGCGCCGCCUCCCCACCCGCCCGGGGCCCUCGCCAAGUGGCUGCUAACAAAGCCCAGGGCCCGGCUGCGGGAUGGUUGACUGACAAAGUCAUGCCUGCCUAGCCAGCUUCCUCGUGCAGCACGGUGAAGGCUGGGGCGCCGGGUUUUUACUCCCACGUCCUGCCAACUCGAGCUGACAAGGCGGGCAAUCCACCAGCGGGAGCGUUGGCAGGCCCGGGGUCAGAUCCUGAUUCAGCCAGUUAAUUGGUAGGAGUGGGGCCCAUUUGUAGAAUGAAGGUGAUAACUGCCUCGUGGGGUUAUUGGCAUUAAAUGAAGAAUGUAGGGAACCUAGCAUGGUUCUUGAUGUCUAGGAGGUGCUCGGUGAAGGGUGCCUAUGAUUCGCUUUGUCUUCUAAAUACUUUUGGCAGCACUUGAGGUGUUAAAGUCUGUAUCCCAGACUUUAUUAGUCUUGUUGUUUUACGUGACUUAAGCGAUUAGCUCAAACGCCCAAGUACAAAAUGGGGCUAAACCCAGGUUUUCCGACACGAUUCUACCUCCAUGGCUCUAUCUCCAGCUCCACCCAAGGCCUCCAAAAUGGUGUUCUCCUAAAGUGACCAACAAAACACCAAGCUGUGUCAUGGUGCCACUUUGGCGAUGUGGUCUCUUAGGAGAGGGAAUUCUAAGUAGUUAAUUAGCUUGUUCCUUUCUACGUUGUAGUCUUGACCAAGGACAAUGUGUUGGCAUUUAAUGCCACUGAAGAUUUAAGAGACUAAGGAAUCAGAUCCUCUGAGAUUCCUAAAUCUGUGUAAUAAAAUGGGUUCUACACAUAGCUAUUCCAAAAAAUUCAGUCAGAUAUUACUAACAAGAUAGACAGAUUAUAAUCUGUAUGAAAUUUCUAGGAGUAAUAAAAAUCAGAAUAGACCCCGUAACCCCGAGUAUGUGUCUAAUUUUCUCAACUAUAAAAUAAUUAAAACUAAAGGCCUUUCUCUUCCUCCCUUGGUGAAUGCCCUUAUGUGAAUUCAGCUGACACACUCAGAAUGACAAAGGAGUUAGAAAUUCACAUCAACAGCAAUUGGUCCCAACUGACUCAAACCAUGAGACUUCUGCCCUGCUAAGAUACCUUGUCAGUAUCUACCACUUUAGCAAUUCUGGGUAAAUGGGGGAAGAAAGAGCCAAAUCAGCUCUUUUUUUUUUUUUCAUUAAAAAGCAAAUUUUUUUUAGAGCCAGUCUUGCCUUACGUAGCCCAGGCUGGAGUGCAGUGGCACAAUCAUGACUCACUGUAACCUCGAACUCCUGGCCUCAAGAGAUCCUCCCAUCUCAGCCUCCCAAGUAACUGGAACUAAAGGCACAGGCCACUCCACCUGGCCAAUUUAUUUUUAAAAUUUUUUAGGGACGUGGUUCUACUGUGUUGCCCAGGUGGGUCUUGAACUCCUGGCCUCAAGCAAUCCUCUGGCCUUGGUCUCCCAAAGCACCAGGAUUACAGGUGUGAGCCACCAAACCCGGCCCAAAUCAGCUCUUUAUUCUAACUGGUGGUCUCACCGCAACAACACAAAAUCUACAGCGUGCCAACUGUGCUUCAGCCGCUGGAUGCACUAAGACAAAACUGUCUUGAUCUACACAGUUGAGUUAGACUUAACAGUUCUCAGUAAUCAUGAUAAAAUAGGGACUAUGUACCAAAUGCUAGCCUAGGAUAUGGAACAACUAAUUCUGCCUUUGGUAGCUAGGCCUCAGUAAGUUUUAUCUCAGUAUUCUGUGGGAAGGGCAGCAAAGGAGGAGGAUCUGUAUCAUUUUUCUGUAUUCAAGAGCUAUGCAUUUGAUUAUCAUCUUAGCUGAAUUACACAUUGCAAGAAGUGCCUUUAAGCAAUAUGGUUUUUAGAUAUUUCAGUGACGGUAUCAUUCAUGGUUCAGCACAAAUAUGUGUUUUUUACAUUUCACUUUCUCUCCUUUCUAAAAGAAAGGAGUUUUUAAACCAGUGUUUACAAACUGCACUCUGUCCCCUUCUUCUAAGAAAUAAUAUUUAAACAAAUAAUAGCAAUCAUUAUUCUACAUACCUUUAACCCAGCUUCACUUACAAUGCAGCUCGUGGAUGGCAGAGCUGUGUGUUGUCCGUGGUCAGACACACAGGAAGUCUGAAUUGUUAUCCUGUUCUGCCACUGAAAUGUGUAAAAUAUAGGGGGAGUGUCCCAAGUCAUUUUCCUAAAAGCAUCAUCCAACUAUGUAAGUACUAAGGCCUGCAUUUUUAAGAAUAAGUCCUCUUCCAAAUGAUAAGGAAAGGGUUUUUGUUUGUUUGUUUUUGAGACAGGCUCUUGCUGUGUCACCCAGGCUGGAGUGCAGUGGUGCAGUCUCAGCUCACUGCAACCUCCACCUCCUAGGCUCUGGCAGUCCUCCCACCUUAGCCCCCUGAGUAGUUGGGACUACAGGUGGGCGCCACCACACCCAGCUAAUUUUGGUAUUUUUUCGUAGAGACGGGGUUUUGCCAUGUUGCCCAGGCUGAUCUCAAACUCCUGGGCUCAGGUGAUCUGCCCGCCUUGGCCUCCCAAAGUGCUGGGGUUAUAGGCAUGAGCCACUGUGCCUGGCCACAGUGACAAUUUUUCUUAGCAGCCAAUGAGCCUUGGAAAUUAAUGUGUCUGGCUUUUCAACCACAAACAAACAUAAAAAAAAAAUGGCGAAAACAUCGCUAAUAAACAAAACCCACCUGAUGUUGCUUGCCACUAUCAUGUUUGUUAAUUUUUGUAUCGGUGAUUGAACCAUUCACUUUUUUCUUCAGAAUUAUCAUUCCUGAAACUGAAAGUAUAUAAGGACAGCC
rnacentral:lncRNA from 1 species